rnacentral:misc_RNA from 1 species
CAAGAAGCCGAAAGGCUACUUAAAACCAUCGCGAACUUAUCCAAGUUGCUUCGGCGGCGCGGCUCCCCUCACGGGGGACCGCAGCCCCCGCCUCUCAGGAGGUAAGGGGCAGUCCGCCGGAGGUACGAAACUCUGUAUUAUAGUGGUAUCUCCGAGUAUAAAACAAAUAAGUUA